UACGUAGGGAGCAAGCGUUGUCCGGAAUCAUUGGGCGUAAAGCGCGCGUAGGUGGCCCAGUAAGUCCGCUCUGAAAGUCAAAGGCUCAACCUUUGAAAGCGGGUGGAUACUGCUGGGCUAGAGUCCGGAAGAGGCGAGUGGAAUUCCUGGUGUAGCGGUGGAAUGCGCAGAUAUCAGGAGGAACACCAACGGCGAAGGCAGCUCGCUGGGACGGUACUGACACUGAGGCGCGAAAGCGUGGGGAGCAAACAGG
rnacentral:rRNA from 1 species